AACGAACGCUGGCGGCAUGCCUAACACAUGCAAGUCGAACGAGACCUUCGGGUCUAGUGGCGCACGGGUGCGUAACGCGUGGGAACCUGCCCUUAGGUUCGGAAUAACUCCCCGAAAGGGGUGCUAAUACCGGAUAAUGUCUUCGGACCAAAGAUUUAUCGCCUUUGGAUGGGCCCGCGUUGGAUUAGCUAGUUGGUAGGGUAAAAGCCUACCAAGGCGACGAUCCAUAGCUGGUCUGAGAGGAUGGUCAGCCACACUGGGACUGAGACACGGCCCAGACUCUCGAGGAUGGGCGAAGGGGGGAAAAUGGAAAACGGGGUGAAAGACGAACCCCUCAUGACCGGGAGGUUGUUGAAGUCCUGAGGGAUGAAAAUGUUUUUACCCCGGGAUGUAAAGAAGAGACCCGGAGAAAAAGCCCCGGGCAACCCCGUG
rnacentral:rRNA from 1 species